GGGGUGUCUCUUGGGUGUAAAAGAGGGUGUCUAAUUAUGAGUGCAAGGGCUCCAAUAGUUGGUGCCUAAUGGGCUUCUUAAUGUAAGUUGGAUAACUUAAGUUAAUAGGAAUCCUAAUGCAAAUAGGACGUGUAUUAUGAGAUUGAAUAGGAUUCAAUCCUUAUACCUAUUUAAAGGGACCUCUCCUAAGAUCCCUAGAGCAUCAAAAUCAAUAGUCCCUCACACC
rnacentral:lncRNA from 1 species